GUGGGGAAUCUUAGACAAUGGGGGAAACCCUGAUCUAGCCAUGCCGCGUGAGCGAUGAAGGCCUUAGGGUUGUAAAGCUCUUUCAGCUGGGAAGAUAAUGACGGUACCAGCAGAAGAAGCCCCGGCUAACUCCGUGCCAGCAGCCGCGGUAAUACGGAGGGGGCUAGCGUUGUUCGGAAUUACUGGGCGUAAAGCGCGCGUAGGCGGACCAGAAAGUUGGAGGUGAAAUCCCAGGGCUCAACCGUGGAACUGCCUUCAAAACUCCUGGUCUGGAGUUCGAGAGAGGUGAGUGGAAUUCCGAGUGUAGAGGUGAAAUUCGUAGAUAUUCGGAGGAACACCAGUGGCGAAGGCGGCUCACUGGCUCGAUACUGACGCUGAGGUGCGAAAGCGUGGGGAGCAAACAGGAUUAGAUACCCGGGUAGUCC
rnacentral:rRNA from 1 species